AGUGGUCACACCACGGACGUUCACUCUUCCCACGAGAAUCAUGCAUUCAGGUUGUAAGUGCAGAAGCAUUUUCAAUCAUGUGGGUGGAUUAUGUCUCUCCCAUCAUCACCUUCUUUCGGCUUUCUUCUCGACGAAUCUCGGAGAACAUUUCUCGGAUGCUCAAUAAUGGUUUAAUUCAUAAUACUCGUCCUCGUACCUCAUCCAGAUUCUUGUUUAAUCCCAUUAGAAACUUGAAGAUCCUUUU
rnacentral:lncRNA from 1 species